AGCGUAUCCGGAUUUAUUGGCGUAAAGCGAGCGCAGGCGGUUUUUAAGUCUGAUGUGAAGCCCUCGGCUUAACCGAGGAAGCGCAUCGGAAACUGGGAAACUUGAGUGCAGAAGAGGACAGUGGAACUCCAUGUGUAGCGGUGAAAUGCGUAGAUAUAGGAAGAACACCAGUGGCGAAGGCGGCUGUCUGGUCUGUAACUGACGCUGAGGCUCGAAAGCAUGGGUAGCGAACAGGAUUAGAUACCCUGGUAGUCCAUGCCGUAAACGAUGAAUGCUAGGUGUUGGAGGGUUUCCGCCCUUCAGUGCCGCAGCUAACGCAUUAAGCAUUCCGCCUGGGGAGUACGACCGCAAGGUUGAAACUCAAAGGAAUUGACGGGGGCCCGCACAAGCGGUGGAGCAUGUGGUUUAAUUCGAAGCAACGCGAAGAACCUUACCAGGUCUUGACAUCUUUUGAUCACCUGAGAGAUCAGGUUUCCCCUUCGGGGGCAAAAUGACAGGUGGUGCAUGGUUGUCGUCAGCUCGUGUCGUGAGAUGUUGGGUUAAGUCCCGCAACGAGCGCAACCCUUAUGACUAGUUGCCAGCAUUUAGUUGGGCACUCUAGUAAGACUGCCGGUGACAAACCGGAGGAAGGUGGGGAUGACGUCAAAUCAUCAUGCCCCUUAUGACCUGGGCUACACACGUGCUACAAUGGAUGGUACAACGAGUUGCGAGACCGCGAGGUCAAGCUAAUCUCUUAAAGCCAUUCUCAGUUCGGACUGUAGGCUGCAACUCGCCUACACGAAGUCGGAAUCGCUAGUAAUCGCGGAUCAGCACGCUCGCGGUGAAUACGUUCCCGGGC
rnacentral:rRNA from 2 species